UAGUUUCCAUGGGAAGAAAUACAGACAUGACGACCAGAAAGAAGCCACAUCAUAUUUCUGAGUAUGGUACUCAACACACAUUAGGACCAGCCAAUAGAUCAUACCUGUGGAGCUGUGAAGAGGAAUACAUCUACCUUAGGAAGUUAUAUCCAAAACUACAGUUGGAAUAUCUCUUUUCAGUAAUGGAAAAACUGGGAUAAAAUACUUUCGGAAGAGCAUGCACUGCUACAGACUAUGCACAUGGUAGAGGAAUUACCCAUUUGAGUAGAGCUGCGAACAACAUGAAUUUUAGCCUUGCUGAUGUCCUGUUCUCAAUCAAGGAGUGAAUGCAAUUGGCUCUGAGCAU